UAAUUCUAACGAGUUUACCUAACGUGGAA
rnacentral:sRNA from 1 species